GAUUAACGCUGGCGGCGUGCCUAACACAUGCGAGUCGAGCGGCAGCGAGUUUUACACUGACUUCUGGAAGCUUCUAGUUGCAAGAGAAGAUUUAUUCAAGAAUUUUGUGUAAAAUGUCGGCGAGCGGCGGACGGCUGAGUAACGCGUGGGAACGUACCCCAAAGUGAGGGAUAACGCAUCGAAAGGUGUGCUAAUCCCGCAUAUGGUCUUCGGAUUAAAGCCUUCGGGCGCUUUGGGAACGGCCUGCGUAAGAUUAGAUAGUUGGUGGGGUAAUGGCCUACCAAGUCGACGAUCUUUAACUGGUUUGAGAGGAUGAUCAGUCAGACUGGAACUGAGACACGGUCCAGACUCCUACGGGAGGCAGCAGUGAGGAAUCUUCCACAAUGGGCGAAAGCCUGAUGGAGCAACGCCGCGUGCAGGAUGAAGGCCUUCGGGUUGUAAACUGCUUUUAUAAGUGAGGAUUAUGACAGUAACUUAUGAAUAAGGAUCGGCUAACUACGUG
rnacentral:rRNA from 1 species